CGGACGGGUGAGUAAUGUCUGGGAAACUGCCCGAUGGAGGGGGAUAACUACUGGAAACGGUAGCUAAUACCGCAUAAUGUCUACGGACCAAAGAGGGGGACCUUCGGGCCUCUUGCCAUCGGAUGUGCCCAGAUGGGAUUAGCUAGUAGGUGGGGUAACGGCUCACCUAGGCGACGAUCCCUAGCUGGUCUGAGAGGAUGACCAGCCACACUGGAACUGAGACACGGUCCAG
rnacentral:rRNA from 1 species